rnacentral:rRNA from 1 species
UACAGAGGGUGCGAGCGUUGUCCGGAAUCACUGGGCGUAAAGGGCGCGUAGGUGGUGGCUUAAGCGUGCGGUGAAAGCUCGGGGCUCAACCCCGAGUCGGCCGUGCGAACUGGGCUCACUGGAGCAUAGUAGAGGCAGGUGGAAUUCCGGGUGUAGCGGUGGAAUGCGUAGAGAUCCGGAGGAACACCGGUGGCGAAGGCGGGUCUCUGGGCCGAUACUGACGCUGAGGAGCGAAAGCGUGGGGAGCGAACAGG